rnacentral:rRNA from 1 species
ACUAGUCUGGGAUACCACUUGGAAACAGGUGCUAAUACCGGAUAAGAAAGCGGAUCGCAUGAUCAGCUUUUAAAAGGCGGCGUAAGCUGUCGCUAUGGGAUGGCCCCGCGGUGCAUUAGCUAGUUGGUAAGGUAAGGGCUUACCAAGGCGAUGAUGCAUAGCCGAGUUGAGAGACUGAUCGGCCACAUUGGGACUGAGACACGGCCCAAACUCCUACGGGAGGCAGCAGGC